GACGUAGGGCGCGAGCGUUUGUCCGGAUUUAUUGGGCGUAAAGAGCUCGUAGGCGGUUUGUCACGUCGCUGUGAAACCCUGGGGCUCAACCCCGGGCCUGCAGCCGAUACGGGCUGACUAGAAUUCGGUAGGGGAGUCUGGAAUUCCUGGUGUAGCGGUGAAAUGCGCAGAUAUCAGGAGGAACACCGAUGGCGAAAGCAGGCUUCUGGGCUAUCACUGACGCUGAUCUGCGAAAAGCUAGGGGGAGCAAAACAGGG
rnacentral:rRNA from 1 species